AAUUCGGAGAUGGGUUACGAUGGAUCCUAAAAGUGCCUGCAUGUAGAACUCUAGAGCAGUUCAAACGCAUCAGCCGCAUCCGCCCUUCGGUCUGAAGCUUUACCCAUGCGACUCAUCCUAUGUGAAGCUUCAGUUCCACUUCCAGAUGUAUUGGCAUUUGACGCGACGCUAGAUAACGAGCUUGGUUGUCCUUGCAUCUUGGUGAGCUUUGUUCAGGGAGGUUCUUUGUACGAUUGUUGGUUUGACAAAAUAUUUCCAAGGGAGAGAUGAUGGUGCACCGCACAAGGAUUUCACAGGAUAUUGCUCAUGCAAUGGUCGAACAGAGCCGGUUCUCACUUUCUACUGGUGGUGCCCUUCCAUUUGAUCGAGAUGGGAAUUUGAAUAAACCUAGUACUAUGAGAUUUGUUGACCAUCAAUCCACGCUUGAGCGACUAGGAAAUGACGAAGAGGACGAAUCAGCGCUCUAUUUUGAAGCAGGACCAUUUCAAGACGCAGCUCCAUGCUAUCUUCACGC
rnacentral:sRNA from 1 species